AGGUUGGGUGCUGCUCAUAGACCGUCACAGCUUUUUUCUUUGCAACUUGUAAACUCCAAAGACAGGACAAUGAGGGGGGCAUCCCAGGAGUCUUGGAGAGUCAGUCUAUGUAUAACUGAGUCUACAGGAGAUCAAUCUUCAGCAUGCCACUUCCCAUAUCCAAACUUCUGCCAAAACUGAGUCCACAAUGGAUGACAUUCUCAAAGUAUGAAUACUCUCUACCCAAUUGUGUUGAUGACCGGUAUACAAGGCUAACACAGAAUGUUUUGUGCUGAACAGAGCCAACAGAUCCAUUCAGAAGAAUUCUAUCAACACCAGCCUGAAGUCAGAUCUCCAAACUUUGAUUCAUGAACAAUGUUGCUGCGUGACCUCACUGGCAUUGGUGCCAAUCAUAGGAAGCUGACCAGGAUGUGAACCUCUACCCACAAAUCUGGGCUCACGUAGCAUGCUGGACCCGGCAAAGAGACGGAGACAGCCGGAGGACAAAGACCGCGCCCCUGCCGAUAAGAUUUAAAUUGGAGCUUCUGAAACCAUAGAAGUAUAUUUGUGUUCAAAUUAAUGUUUAAACGAAUAAAGAAA